CGCGGCGGGCCGGGAGCCCAGGGCUCCCGGGUUCAAAGGGCCGCGGCCCUGAGGGGAUGCCCUUCUCGCUGUGCCCCGGGGGGCAGAAGCGGACUGCAGGGCGGUGGGACCGGCCCGGGCCACGUUGCAGGUUGUCAAGGGGAUUCUAUGCCAUGUACCUACUCAGAGGCCCAAGAUGAUGGAGGCUCUACCAUCUAUAAUCUUGAAUUAAUGGCAUCCUCUGUGGCCAUAGCAGGGGAAGAGAGUACUGGAAGGUCUCAUGACCAGAAGUAACGUGUAAUCUUUCUUCUCGUAUCCUGUUGACCAGAGCUAGUCACCUGGCCAAGCAUAACUACAAGGAAUGUGGGAAAUAUAGUCUUCUAUGUGUUUGGAAGGGAGAGGAAAGCCAGAUAUUGGUGGUGUGACAUUCUUUUGUCCCCAAAUGAAAAUGCAGGCUCCAACCAUCCCUGAAAUGCCUUUUUGAGUGUCUCUUUCAGAAGCUCAUACACUAGGAUGUUGAAGGUGCAAUAUGGCUUUUGAUGCACGUGUAGUAGCAUAAAGUGAAAUUCUAGAGAAUACACUACAUUUUAAAGAAAAAAAGUUAAAGAGCCCUGACUUAGUAAUUUUAACUUCUGAAAUCUCUCGUCAUGAGUGAAUCUACACUACUCGAUUUCUUGCCCUGCUCUGGAGCUCUGCAAUCCCUGAACUACGUUCUUUAAGAUGGAAGAAUAUCCAUAACUGGGGUAGUCAACUCAAAAUAGCAAUGAUGACAACAAUAGUGCAGUAACGACCUAGACUGAGCACUUACUGUGCAUCAGAGACUGUGCCAAGCACUGAUUUUCUGUGAUCCUUACAGCAGCUGGAGGAGGACUGAUGGGCUAAACAGUCUUAAUACCUGGCUGUCACCAUCCCUUUGGAAGACUCCAGCAGACCCACAUGUCCUACAGUUCAACUUUUCAAACCUACCUCUUUGUAAUUCCUAAGUAGAAUUCUGAGCUCUGUUGUCAUAUUUCAGUUUUACAAUUACUCCAAAAUAUUUUGAUCCAAAUGUGCCCUUAAUGUCGUGCUUUAUUAAUGCGAUAUGACUCAUAUUAGUGACUGCUUGCUUUUGAGCCAUAUGCCCUGAAUAACUUAUCGGGUUUCAUUGUUUACCCUUAGUUUAAAAAAAAUUCCAUAUGCUCUGACCUCAUGACACCUAAACCCCGCUCAUGCAGUUAAAACAGGAAAACUAUAGUUAUCUGAUAUCAUGAAGGUAAAUCAGCUGGUAGAAACACUCAAAUGUUUCCUUUUCCACUGGUGUGAGGGCAUUGUGGGAGUCAUAGAUUAUUAGUCAGGAAAGCAUAGGAGAGAAUUUUUGUUUGUUGGUUGGUUAAUUUCCAGAAUAAACCCAAUACAAACAUA